AUGGGUAGAGAUGGAGAAGCAUGGAGAGAAAUGAGCAUAGCUGCUGUUCAUAAUAUUAACAAGCACAAGUUGAUAAUGUGCAUGUGAUCAGAUGUGUAGGUAAUGGAGGUAGAUUGUGGUAGUGGGAACAGUCACUUGGUUGGGUGGAGCAAUUGGAAUGAUGGCUAGGUCUUGUUUGUCAAAUUAUUGGGUCUAUAAAAGGAACAGCCGGUGUCUGGUGGGAGUGCGUUUUCCUGAACACUGGUGACGUCACCAGAUACCCGACGCAGCUGGGAGAGGUUUGUGUGGUAAGGAUUUAGUUGUCAUGCCUGUUUGGUAGCCUGAUUGUCUGGAAUGGGUUUUAAGGGUGGUUUGGUUUCUUCUUUUAGUGUGGAUUGAGGAAUCCAGCCCUUAUCAGGUUAAAAUCAUCCCACUUCCUCGUUAAGAGUUUUGCGGCACAUCGCGACCUGGUUGAACCAGUAAGUUGAUUAACUGUCGGGUAUUAAUAUUUGAUGUUAAAAGAUGCUAAUUUUGUGCAUAUUUCUCUGUAAUUAUGAAGUGUGGAACUGAGAGCCGUUGUAGUGGGCUUUCUUACCAGGGCUGUUUUACCAGGUCUGUCUUACCAGGGCUGGCUUACCUGGGUGUCUUCGUACUGGGCUGCUGUCUUAUCGGGCUGUCUACUUGCUUGCCUACCUUUGGGUUGCUUCGCUGCCUGGCUGCCAUGUGGUCUGCGGGUCACUAAAGCGUGGAAGGAGCGACAUAUUGCAUGGAUUACUGGAUUAGCCACAGAGCUAAGUGCUGGCGCUUUUGCGAACUGUGUGCUAUUGUUAGUGUGUCUGUUUCAGUGCUCCACACUGUGACAGUCUGCUGAGAGGUGGCCUGAGAAACUGCUGCUAUACAUAUCUGUUUAUCGGAGGAGUUUGAAGAUCUGGAUGGUACCCAACAGUUAGUGGAAUGCUAAGAGGUCAUGUGCUUAUUUGAUGAGUUUAUUGAAUGGAAUUGACUGUUUUAUUAUUCCUGUUGUACUUCUCUUGCUUUUUGUUCUUGUUAUUGUACUUUUAUGAUCGUUUUGUGUGUGUGUGUUUGUGUGUGUGGGUAAAUUAAGUUGACCAUACUGUGGUUUGCUUCUCCAGGUGUCUGGGAGACCAGUUUUAGUGUGAGGGACAAGUUCCUCUUUGCUUGGUGGUGGUUUCCUUCAGUGUGCAGUGGUCGACAGGAACCUGUAAAGAAGCAGCUUUUAAAAAGGCUUCAGAAUGUGACAACCCUCAAAAAAGAAACAGAGAGCGAGCCCUUCAAGGAAGAGGCCAUAAAGCCUUAGCUUUCAAAUCAUCCAGGAGAAGUCUACUGAUGAGACUGAUGAGUCCAAUUCCUCAACUUUGAUCUUGGAGUGAUCACCACAUUCUAGAUGCAGUACCUUAGAGGUUGAAGAUUUGGAUGAUCAUGGAUGAACUGCAUCGGAUUCUUGAUGGAGGGAACUCUCACUUCAUACUUGACCUAAAGACACGCUGGGGGACCUUUUAUGAGAAAGCAUUGUUUUAUAGAGUAUUCAAAAGGGUCAUGAAAGCACCACAGCAGGACAAAGGAAUCCACCUGCCACACCCCUUCGGCGGCUGUCAAACCUCCUCUUUCCCCGAAGCUCCCAGCUUCAAUUGUGCACACCAUGGCGUACCACGGAUAUCUCUCUUGGGAUUUAUGCUGGAUUGCUGUGUGUGUAUGUUUGUGUGUUUUGCGUGCAAAUCUUCACUUUCAUUAAACCAUAGCAAACUGUGCUCCGGCUUCCGCCUACGCUUCGUUCGCCACAUGACACUUUCCUUGAUAAAGGCUUUACCAGAAAUGUUCCCUUCACCUGUGGCUCCACCCAAGAAUUUAGGACAUGCAAGUGAAGCUAUGUUUCAGCAUGGCAUUUGAGCAUUUUUAAAAGCAUUUGAGCAUGAAUGAAAAUCUUAAUAUUACUUACUUCACAAUAAGAUACAACCAGUGUGAAUUGUCUUUGUGGUGAUAUUUGUUUUUCUCUGUGUUUGUAUCAGUCUGCAGAAGAUCCAAACACCUUUCUUUAGACAAGACCACUCUUCAGCUGUGUCUUGAUUGUCUGUGAAACCAAUUGUUUACUGGCCAUUGGAACCAUGCCUGUGGUGACCGUCCCAAAAAAGGACACCUGUGCUAGAGUGAUGUAUCUCAUGGUAUUAUUAUGCCGUUCACCUUAUAUAUUCUAAAUGCAUUGCUCCAGAGUCCUCUGGAUGCCUUCCAUGACAAGGACAUGACUUUGUCAUAUAAAAAGUCUAUGUUUAAGUGUAAAAAGUUCCUUACUGACUAGGGCUGCACAACACUAUUUUUUUCAUUUCUAGUCCCCAUAACAGAACUUUGUGUAUCAGCCAAUUUUAUAUCCUGUAAUACAUAGCAAUAUCAUUUGCUUUUUAUAAUAAUAAUCUUUGCAGCACGGUUACAUUGGUGAUCUUGCCAUAGAUGUUUUUUGGCAUCUGAAACUACUAAGAGCCUUUAGAACCAGGCAAGAUAUAAAACUGUACAGGUGAUGGAAAAAAAAACAUGUCCAGAAAUGACCCUGUGUUGUUUUGUUGCAUUCUUUGUUUUGCCCAUGUGCAGCUCAUAGAAUUCAUA